UAAGAAGGAGCCUGUGCACCCUCUCAGAAU
rnacentral:piRNA from 1 species